AAAAUAGAAAUUAUGCAAAUCCAGUAUUAUUAUUAACCAGAAAACAUCAGAAGGUUCCAACACCCUCUGCCCAGAGCAAGCUCCCCACCGAAAAAAUGACCAAAACGUGCCCCCCUCACCUCCUACACCUCAUCAUAUAUUACAACCCAUACUUUUUUCUUUUUCUCUUUCUUCUAACUAACAUCAUUCCCUCACAAAGCCAGGUCACUCUUUUCUCUCCUCUUAUAAACUUUGUCCCACCUAUUUUUAUUCUCUCCUGGGUACGUAUCAAUGCCUUCUUCAUGAAUUAAAACCUUGUCCUCAAGGCUAAACUCUGGAAAUUGACUUUUAAUAUUUAAUUCAUCUUCCCAAGUAGCUUCGUCUGCAUUUUGAUCUCUCCAUUGAACCAGUACCUGCUUCUUAGUUUCCCCUCUUUUGGUGUAGUUCCUAGUGGCUAAGAUACCCAUAGGAACUAAUACUUCGACUCUGUCAUCAUCUAACCCUGUAGGGAGAGCAUCCUCAACCUUAUACUUGCCCACCGCUUUCUUCAGCAAAGAUAUAUGAAAAACAGGAUGAAUCUUUGAAGUAGGUGGUAAUUUCAGACGAUAUGCCACCUCUUCUACUUUAUCCUCUACUUCAAAUGGUCCAUAGUAUUUAGCACUUAAUUUAUGACUAAUUCUGCUCAUGACCGACUGUUGUCUAUUCUGUUUCAACUUCAAAAACACAAUCUCCCACCGAAAAAUGUCUUUCCCUUCGAUGCUUAUUAGCAAUAGUCAUCAUUCUGUCUUGGGCACGUUAUAAAUGAGACGUUAACUGUCUUAGUGCUUCAUCCCUCUCUAGAAGAUCCUUUUGAACAACUACUACCCUCACCUCUCCUUGAACCACCUGUACAAUCUUAGGAGGAAUUCUUCCAUACACUGCUUCAAAAGGAGUGAUUUGUGUGGAGUGAUAACAAUCUAAAAACCAUUAUUUUCAUGCUUAAAUUUGAUAUUAAAUCACACCCUUUAUGGCUUAGAAUUAGCUUGAAAUCAUGCAUUUUUAUUAAGUUAGAGAAUAAGAGAGUCAAAGAUGGUUUUCUUGGUUUUAUGCUUGGUUCCCUUGACUUUAUAGGUUUUUGGAAUGAAAUUGGAAGAAAGGUUGAAGUAUCAAAUGGUUGGAGUGUUGAAAAGUCAACCAGAAUGCUGAAAAGUCAACCACAGUGCAGAAAAAUAAUGUGCAGAAAAAAUCUGCUGGGGCUGAGCGGCACCUGAGCUGCAGCUGAGCGCCAUCACGCGUUGAGCGGCAGCUUUGGGCGCUGAGUGGCAGUUUUGCGCACUGAGCGGUCCUGCGAUUAGAGGGAAAUCGCUUAGCGGUUGUCUGUUUUUAUUUGGCGGAUUCUGUGAUCAUUGUGGCCUAUAUAUAGGCCAAGUGCGAAUCAAAACUCAUUCUUUUGGCAGAGAGAAACGUCCAGAGCUAUUCCACACACCUUGGAGGAGGUUCCUUGGAUGGUUAGGCUCCAAUUUACCAACUUUAGGGUUAUUUCUUCCAUUCUUUCAUCAUAUUUCAUCUAGUCUCACCAUGAUUAUGGUGAACUAAACCCUAGGUUGUUGGGGAACAAUGUAAUCUUUUGAAACUCUCAUAUACCCAAAUUCUUAUUUAUUUUAUAUGCUUGCAUAUGCUUGAUUUAUCAAUUGCUGGGUUCUUCACCUUUGCUUAAUGCUUUUAUCGUUAAACUCAUUCGGUAAAUGUUAUUUGUCUUUAUUGAUACGGGGACGUACAAUAAUGUCAUGAACUGGUGUUGAAUUCCUUGAUUAUGUUAAUACCGCCUAGGGAUAGGGGUAGGACUAUCAAUUGUAUUUUGCUUCCGCUUAUCAUGCAUUAUUAAUUACUAGGGGAGGCUAGGGAUAGCAAGCCGGUAAUUAGUAAUAGGCUCUUUUCACCAAGGGAUCGGGUUAAGGGUAGAAUAAGAAAGUUUGCAUGACAAUAUGAUAAAUAAGCUAAUUAAAUAAGAAGAGUAGAUAUAUGAGGGUGGAUAAGAUGAAAUUGUAAACCCCAACAACUCCAUUCAUCCAUAGUUUCUUAAAGCCAAUUGAAUCAUUGCAUUUGCAUGUUUACUUUUGUUCUUUGCAUACACACUUCAACUUAAUUCUUUUCUCAAGUUUUACGCGAUUUGUUUACAUGAAAAGUAAGGCCUAAGAGUCCUUUGGGAAACGAUACUUGGACUUACCCAUUUAUAUUACUUGAUAACGAUCUGGUACACUUGUCAGGGACUUAACAUGGAGCUAUGAUAAAUGGUAUUAAACCACAACUCUGCCCAGGGCAUCCAAAUCACCCACGUUUUGGGUUGAUCAGUAAUAAAACAUCUGAGGUAAUUUUCUAGACAUCGAUUAGUUACCUCAGUCUGUCCAUCCGAUUGCGGAUGAUAUGCCGUGCUCAUUUUCAGCUUUGUUCCUUGCAUCUUAAAGAGCUCUCUCCAAAACAAGCUCAUAAAUAUCGGAUCCCUAUCACUAACUACCAAAUUCGGUAUUCCGUGCAACCUUACUAUUUCUCUUACAAAAAUCUCGGCCAAGGACUUUGCCGUAUAAGGAUGUUUAAGGGGAACAAAUUGGCAGUAUCCUUACAAACUAGUUUUGUUGUCCACCUGUUGUUAUCCUUUGUUGCAUUAAUUGGUUAAGACUCUUCUGGUCUGAAAAAACAGUAAAUUUGUGACCCAAAAGAUAAGGUCUCCAGUGUUGGAUAGCCACUGCCACUGCCAUCAACUCUCUUUCGUAUGCUGACUUUGUCAAAUUGCGUGAACUCAAGGCCUUACUAUAAUACGCCACAACUCUUUUUCCUUGCAUUAGGAUUGCUCUAAUCCCUGUCCCAGAGGCAUCACAUUCCAGGAAGAACUCUUCUUCAAAAUUUGGGAGCCUCAACACUGGUGUUGACGUGACCCUUUGUUUGAGCUCAUCAAGUGCUUCUUGAGCUUGUUCAUUCCACCCAAAUCCAUCCUUUCUAGUCAGCUCUGUUAAUGGUUUAGCUAUCUUACCAUAAUCUUUUAUGAACUUACGAUAAUAGCCUGUGAGGCCCAAAAAUCCACGAACUCCCUUUACGUUCUUGGGAAUUGGCCACUUUAACACACUAUUAACCUUCGCUGGGUCCACCGCAACUCCAUGUAUAGAAAUAAUAUGUCCCAGAUACUCCACCUUCUCAUGGCCAAACAAACAUUUUUCCUUGUUCGCAAAUAAUUGGUGAUCUCUCAAAACUUCUAGCACCUUCUCAAGCAACUGCAUAUGCUUUUCCCAAGUGUUACUGUACACGAGUAUGACAUCAAAAAACACCAAUACCCCUCGUCUCAACAACGUCCGAAAAACUUCAUUCAUAAGAGCUUGGAAUGUCGACUGGGUGUUCAUAAGCCCAAUUGGCAUCACGAGGUACUCAUAGUGACCUUCGUGGGUUCGAAAUGUUGUCUUUGGAAUGUCUUCCUCUCUCAUUCUGACUUGAUGAUAUCCUGAACGAAGGUCCAAUUUAGAGAAAUAUUUGGCUCCAUGCAACUCAUCCAAUAACUCCUCAAUAGCUGGUAUUGGAAAUUUAUCUGGAAUAGUGGCCUUGUUCAAAGCUCUAUAAUCAACACACAUGCGCCAUCUGUUAUUUUUCUUCUUCACCAGAAUGAUUGGGCUCGAAUAAGCACUCUGGCUAUGCCUGAUAUGACCCACUUCCAUCAACUCUUGCACUUGUCUCUCAAUUUCAUUCUUCUGGUGAUACGCAUAUCUGUAAGGCCUCACGUUAAUAGGUUCUUGUCCGGGUUUGAGAUGAAUUUUGUGUUCCUUUACAUGUCUAGGAGGUAGCCCCCUUAGGUUCAUCAAACACAUCUUUGAAAUGCUGCAGCAAGUGAUUUAAGACGCUUCGUUGCUCUGGACCCAACUCUGCAACUUCCAUCUUCUCUCUUUCCUCCAACACCCCACACACUGAGAUCAACAAUGAAUCCCCAUGAGGGACCCCUCUUAGCAGUUUCUGCCCUUGCUGAGUCUAGAUCUUCAUUUGCUAUUUUUUUCAAUCCACAGUUGUCUCUCCCAACAUCGUUAACCACGACAUCCCCAAUAUCACAUCCAUGUCCUCCAAAUCAAAGAGAAAAGCAUCAAUUUCAAACUCACCAUCAUCAAUCCUUACUUUGAUACCUCGACAAAUCCCUUGAGUCUUGGAUAUGUGCCCAUCUCCCAUCAGAAUCUUCAUUUGCUUGGUUCUUUCCCACUGCCAACCCAAGGCUUCCACAAGCUUUCGCAAAAUAAAAUUGUGUGUGGCUCCGCCAUCGAGCAAGAACAACAUCAGAAUCUCACCAAUCAGCCCACAUAACUUCAUAGUUCUCAGUUGAUCAUUUUGGUCUCUCGUGAGAGAGUAAAGAUUUAGUGUUGUGCAUUCUGCCACCACCUCAUCUUCGUCAUCUUUCUCCUCAUUUUCCUCUUAAUCCCCUUCGCAUUCAACUUGGAUUUCCUCAUUCAGCAUGACCACCCUUAGCUGCUUAACAAGACAUUGAUGAAGGGGACCGUAUACCCCACUGCAUUUGAAACACAAGCCCCUUUGUUUUCGGUCGAGAAGUUCUUCAUAAGAAAGAUGAUUUGCUCCUCUGUCACGUGACCCCCGUUUAUUCUUUGCACCCCCAAUCUUUCUGAACACUUGGGCCAGGCCCAUUUUCACCCCAACUUCCCCCAUACUAUUUUGGACCCGUUUUUCCCACCAUAGUCGAAAUGGGUCGGAGCCCUAUUUGAGAUCUGUCCCCUCGAGACUCUCCCCUUCCCUGCCAUAUUGUAUUUCUCCCUGAUAUCCCCACAUCGAUGGCACGAUCUACAUUCAUCAUGCCCCCCCUGGACAAAGGAUGUGCCACGUGCAAGCUUCAUAUUCUCGCACGUAUUUCGUUCUUCAGCCCUUGUGUAAAAUACGAAAAGUAUUGUUCAUCGGGCAUUCGUGGCACCUGAGCAAUGAGACACUCAAAACUUGUAAUAUAAUCUUCAAUACUUCCUCUUUGUUUUAUGGCAGCCAAUUGAUCAUAAAUACUCUGUUCUCCCCUAUCUCCAUAUCGCUCCAACAUCUCUCGUUUCAAGUCUUCCCAAGUUAACUCAUCGUAUUCAUUCAAUAAAGCAUGGAAAAAAUGAAUCAUGCUCCCUUCCAUAUAUAGUUGAGCAAGAUUCACUCGGACUACCUCUCGUGUCUCUUGUACGUUAAAAUAAACUUCAGCUCUCGCUAUCCACCCCAUUGGGUCUUCUCCAUAGAACGGUGGUAAUUCUAUCUUCUUCAUCGAUUGCUGAAAUUCGGCUAAAUCGUCCCCCUCGAGUUGUCUCAUACUUUUCGUUCUCUGUGUAUUCACCGAUCCUGACCCCAACUUUUCAUUCCUCCUCAUUCACAUUGGUGAACUUCGAAAUUAAGUGAAGGAGCUUUGAUUGAUUCUCAGCAGCUUCUCAACGUAAGGUUACGAUCUGUUCUGCUGAAUCCUUACGCAACUUUUCCAAAUUAGUUUGGCUUUGCAACGAUUGCGCCACGAGCUCCUCGACCACCGCUUUGAGUUUAGCGACCUCGCCCACAAUCAGCUCCGCCUCAUUCUCCUCACUUAUUGGCUCUCCUUGAACAUUGUUCUUUCUUGGUGGCAUGGUCUCCGAUCGGGAAAUAUUGAUCCGGUAGGUCGCACCAAUUGUUAGAAACCAAAAUUUACUAAUCAACGAAAUGAACAGUAAAAAUAGAAAUGAUGCAAAUCCAGUAUUAUUAUUAACCAGAAAACAUCAGAAGGUUCCAGCACCCUCUGCCUAGAGCAAGCUCCCCAACGAAAAAAAUGACCAAAACGUGUCCCCCCUCACCUCCUACACCUCAUCAUAUAUAACAACCCAUACUCUUUUCUUUUUCUCUCUCUUCUAACUAACAUCAUUCCCUCACAAAGCCAUGUCACUCUUUUCUCUCCUCUUAUAAACUCUGCCCCACUUAUUUUUAUUCUCUCUUGGAUACGUAUCAAGUAGUACACUAUCGUGAGUAAUCAACAGCAGACCAAACUAAAAGUUCUAAUGACAAACAAUG
rnacentral:lncRNA from 1 species